rnacentral:rRNA from 1 species
UACGAAGGGGGCUAGCGUUGCUCGGAAUCACUGGGCGUAAAGGGUGCGUAGGCGGGUCUUUUAAGUCAGAGGUGAAAUCCCAAGGCUCAACCUUGGAACUGCCUUUGAUACUGGGGAUCUUGAGUUCGGGAGAGGUGAGUGGAACUGCGAGUGUAGAGGUGAAAUUCGUAGAUAUUCGCAAGAACACCAGUGGCGAAGGCGGCUCACUGGCCCGAUACUGACGCUGAGGCACGAAAGCGUGGGGAGCAAACAGG